rnacentral:rRNA from 1 species
UGGGGAAUUUUGGACAAUGGGCGAAAGCCUGAUCCAGCAAUGCCGCGUGUGUGAAGAAGGCCUUCGGGUUGUAAAGCACUUUUGUCCGGAAAGAAAUCCUUGGCUCUAAUACAGUCGGGGGAUGACGGUACCGGAAGAAUAAGCACCGGCUAACUACGUGCCAGCAGCCGCGGUAAUACGUAGGGUGCAAGCGUUAAUCGGAAUUACUGGGCGUAAAGCGUGCGCAGGCGGUUUGCUAAGACCGAUGUGAAAUCCCCGGGCUCAACCUGGGAACUGCAUUGGUGACUGGCAGGCUAGAGUAUGGCAGAGGGGGGUAGAAUUCCACGUGUAGCAGUGAAAUGCGUAGAGAUGUGGAGGAAUACCGAUGGCGAAGGCAGCCCCCUGGGCCAAAUACUGACGCUCAUGCACGAAAAGCGUGGGGAGCAAAACAGGAUUAGAUACCCUGGUGGUCCACGCCCUAAAACGAUGUCAAACUAGUUGUUGGGGAUUCAUUUCCUUAGUAACGUAGCU